ACCGCUCCUAAAUUCAAGCAACUGAGAUCCAAAAUUCAAGCAACUGAGAUUCAAGCAACUGAAAUCCAAAUCUUCUGUCGCGACACACAUCUGAGAUCGGAGAAGACGAAACUUUUUGUCGCGACGGCACGCUGAGAUCGCAAAAUAGCAUACAAAAUCAACAGCAACUUCAAGUUCAGUAACGAAACACAAUCGAACGGCAGUGAUUGUUGAAUACAAAAUCACAGCAACUUCGAUACAAAUCUGAAUACUGAGGUAUGUGAGAUUAAAAUUCAUAUACAUAUAGUUACCUAUGGUUACUACGAAUUCCUAUAUUGAUUACCUUUCUUAAGUUUUUCACACUUAAAAUGGU
rnacentral:lncRNA from 1 species